AUGAACGCUGGCGGCGUGCCUAAUACAUGCAAGUCGAGCGAACAGACGAGGAGCUUGCUCCUCUGACGUUAGCGGCGGACGGGUGAGUAACACGUGGAUAACCUACCUAUAAGACUGGGAUAACUUCGGGAAACCGGAGCUAAUACCGGAUAAUAUAUUGAACCGCAUGGUUCAAUAGUGAAAGACGGUUUUGCUGUCACUUAUAGAUGGAUCCGCGCCGCAUUAGCUAGUUGGUAAGGUAACGGCUUACCAAGGCGACGAUGCGUAGCCGACCUGAGAGGGUGAUCGGCCACACUGGAACUGAGACACGGUCCAGACUCCUACGGGAGGCAGCAGUAGGGAAUCUUCCGCAAUGGGCGAAAGCCUGACGGAGCAACGCCGCGUGAGUGAUGAAGGUCUGCGGAUCGUAAAACUCUGUUAUUAGGGAAGAACAAAUGUGUAGUAACUAUGCACGUCUUGACGGUACCUAAUCAGAAAGCCACGGCUAACUACGUG
rnacentral:rRNA from 1 species